UACGGAGGGUGCGAGCGUUGUCCGGAAUCACUGGGCGUAAAGGGCGCGUAGGCGGCUGUGGCAGUCAACGGUGAAAGCUCGGGGCUCAACCCUGAGUCGGCCGUCGAUACUCCACAGCUGGAGCACUGUAGAGGCAGGUGGAAUUCCGGGUGUAGCGGUGGAAUGCGUAGAGAUCCGGAAGAACACCGGUGGCGAAGGCGGCCUGCUGGGCAGUAGCUGACGCUGAGGCGCGACAGCGUGGGGAGCAAACAGG
rnacentral:rRNA from 1 species